AAUGAAGUGCCUGAAAAAAAGGGUUAUUUUGAUAGAAUAAAUUAUGCACUAAACGCCUUCAUUA
rnacentral:tRNA from 1 species